rnacentral:tRNA from 1 species
GUUCAGGUAGCUUAAGUUUAAAAGCAUAACAUUGAAGAUGUUGGGAUAAGUAUAGACUUUUUGGACG